GACAGAGGGUGCAAACGUUGUUCGGAAUUACUGGGCGUAAAGCGCGUGUAGGCGGCUAAGUAAGUCGGGCGUGAAAUCUCACGGCUCAACCGUGGAAGUGCACUCGAAACUGCGUAGCUAGAGUCCUGGAGAGGAAGGUGGAAUGCUUGGUGUAGAGGUGAAAUUCGUAGAUAUCAAGCGGAACACCGGUGGCGAAGGCGGCCUUCUGGACAGUGACUGACGCUGAGACGCGAAAGCGUGGGGAGCAAACAGG
rnacentral:rRNA from 1 species